CCUACGGGAGGCAGCAGUGAGGAAUAUUGGUCAAUGGACGAGAGUCUGAACCAGCCAAGUAGCGUGAAGGAUGACUGCCCUAUGGGUUGUAAACUUCUUUUAUAAAGGAAUAAAACGAGGCACGUGUGCCUUUUUGCAUGUACUUUAUGAAUAAGCAUCGGCUAACUCCGUGCCAGCAGCCGCGGUAAUACGGAGGAUCCGAGCGUUAUCCGGAUUUAUUGGGUUUAAAGGGAGCGUAGAUGGGUUGUUAAGUCAGUUGUGAAAGUUUGCGGCUCAACCGUAAAAUUGCAAUUGAUACUGGGAGUCUUGAGUACAGUUGAGGUAGGCGGAAUGCGUGGUGUAGCGGUGAAAUGCUUAGAUAUCGCGCAGAACCCCGAUUGCGAAGGCAGCUUACUAAGCUGUGACUGACAUUGAUGCUCGAAAGUGUGGGUAUCAAACAGGAUUAGAUACCCUUGUAGUC
rnacentral:rRNA from 1 species